AUUGAACGCUGGCGGCAGGCCUAACACAUGCAAGUCGAACGAGUGGCGGACGGGUGAGUAAUGUCUGUGAAACUGCCCGAUGGAGGGGGAUAACUUCUGGAAACGGUAACUAAUACCGCAUAUCAUCGGAUGUGCCACGAUGGGAUUCGCUAGUAGGUGGGGUAACGGCUGACCUAGGCGACGAUCCCUAGCUGGUCUGAGAGGAUGACCAGCCACACUGGAACUGAGACACGGUCCAGACUCCUACGGGAGGCAGCAGUGGGGAAUAUUGCACAAUGGGCGCAAGCCUGAUGCAGCCAGGCCGCGUGUAUGAAGAAGGCCUUCGGGUUGUAAAGUACUUUCAGCGAGGAGGCGUUACUCGCAGAAGAAGCACCGGCUAACUCCGUGCCAGCAGCCGCGGUAAUAC
rnacentral:rRNA from 1 species